rnacentral:RNase_MRP_RNA from 19 species
UCACGGGAAGCCAGCGUGCCGCGUGCGCUAACUCAAUGGGGAUUACUCUUGC